rnacentral:rRNA from 1 species
GAUGAACGCUGGCGGCGUGCCUAAUACAUGCAAGUCGAGCGAACGGACGAGAAGCUUGCUUCUCUGAUGUUAGCGGCGGACGGGUGAGUAACACGUGGAUAACCUACCUAUAAGACUGGGAUAACUUCGGGAAACCGGGGCUAAUACCGGAUAAUAUUUUGAACCGCAUGGUUCAAAAGUGAAAGACGGUCUUGCUGUCACUUAUAGAUGGAUCCGCGCUGCAUUAGCUAGUUGGUAAGGUAACGGCUUACCAAGGCAACGAUGCAUAGCCGACCUGAGAGGGUGAUCGGCCACACUGGAACUGAGACACGGUCCAGACUCCUACGGGAGGCAGCAGUAGGGAAUCUUCCGCAAUGGGCGAAAGCCUGACGGAGCAACGCCGCGUGAGUGAUGAAGGUCUUCGGAUCGUAAAACUCUGUUAUUAGGGAAGAACAUAUGUGUAAGUAACUGUGCACAUCUUGACGGUACCUAAUCAGAAAGCCACGGCUAACUACGUGCCAGCAGCCGCGGUAAUACGUAGGUGGCAAGCGUUAUCCGGAAUUAUUGGGCGUAAAGCGCGCGUAGGCGGUUUUUUAAGUCUGAUGUGAAAGCCCACGGCUCAACCGUGGAGGGUCAUUGGAAACUGGAAAACUUGAGUGCAGAAGAGGAAAGUGGAAUUCCAUGUGUAGCGGUGAAAUGCGCAGAGAUAUGGAGGAACACCAGUGGCGAAGGCGACUUUCUGGUCUGUAACUGACGCUGAUGUGCGAAAGCGUGGGGAUCAAACAGGAUUAGAUACCCUGGUAGUCCACGCCGUAAUCGAUGAGUGCUAAGUGUUAGGGGGUUUCCGCCCCUUAGUGCUGCAGCUAACGCAUUAAGCACUCCGCCUGGGGAGUACGACCGCAAGGUUGAAACUCAAAGGAAUUGACGGGGACCCGCACAAGCGGUGGAGCAUGUGGUUUAAUUCGAAGCAACGCGAAGAACCUUACCAAAUCUUGACAUCCUUUGACAACUCUAGAGAUAGAGCCUUCCCCUUCGGGGGACAAAGUGACAGGUGGUGCAUGGUUGUCGUCAGCUCGUGUCGUGAGAUGUUGGGUUAAGUCCCGCAACGAGCGCAACCCUUAAGCUUAGUUGCCAUCAUUAAGUUGGGCACUCUAAGUUGACUGCCGGUGACAAACCGGAGGAAGGUGGGGAUGACGUCAAAUCAUCAUGCCCCUUAUGAUUUGGGCUACACACGUGCUACAAUGGACAAUACAAAGGGCAGCGAAACCGCGAGGUCAAGCAAAUCCCAUAAAGUUGUUCUCAGUUCGGAUUGUAGUCUGCAACUCGACUACAUGAAGCUGGAAUCGCUAGUAAUCGUAGAUCAGCAUGCUACGGUGAAUACGUUCCCGGGUCU